rnacentral:rRNA from 1 species
AUUGAACGCUGGCGGCAUGCCUUACACAUGCAAGUCGAACGGCAGCGGGGACUUCGGUCCGCCGGCGAGUGGCGAACGGGUGAGUAAUGUAUCGGAACGUACCAUGCAGUGGGGGAUAACUAUCCGAAAGGAUAGCUAAUACCGCAUAUUCUGUGAGCAGGAAAGCAGGGGAUCGCAAGACCUUGCGCUGAUGGAGCGGCCGAUAUCAGAUUAGCUAGUUGGUGUGGUAACGGCUCACCAAGGCUACGAUCUGUAGCGGGUCUGAGAGGACGAUCAGCCACACUGGGACUGAGACACGGCCCAGACUCCUACGGGAGGCAGCAGUGGGGAAUUUUGGACAAUGGGCGCAAGCCUGAUCCAGCCAUGCCGCGUGAGUGAAGAAGGCCUUCGGGUUGUAAACCUCUUUCGGCCGGGAAGAAAUCGCAUCAGCUAAUACCUGGUGUGGAUGACGGUACCGGAAUAAGAAGCACCGGCUAACUACGUGCCAGCCGCCGCAGUAACAC